AGCGAACGCCGGCGGCAGGCCUAACACAUGCAAGUCGAACGGAUCCUUCGGGAUUAGUGGCGGACGGGUGAGUAACACGUGGGAACGUGCCCUUUGGUUCGGAACAACUCAGGGAAACGUGAGCUAAUACCGGAUGUGCCCUUCGGGGGAAAGAUUUAUCGCCAUUGGAGCGGCCCGCGUCUGAUUAGCUAGUUGGUGGGGUAAAGGCCCACCAAGGCGACGAUCAGUAGCUGGUCUGAGAGGAUGAUCAGCCACAUUGGGACUGAGACACGGCCCAAACUCCUACGGGAGGCAGCAGUGGGGAACCUUGCGCAAUGGGCGAAAGCCUGACGCAGCCAUGCCGCGUGAAUGAUGAAGGUCUUAGGAUUGUAAAAUUCUCUCACCGGGGACGAUAAUGACGGUACCCGGAGAAGAAGCCCCGGCUAACUUCGUGCCAGCCGCCGCGGUAA
rnacentral:rRNA from 1 species